rnacentral:rRNA from 1 species
AUGGCCACCAACGGCCAGCCGGCGGCGGCGGUCGCCACCAUCGAUGACCUCCCUCAAAACAUGCUGCUCGAUAUCUUCCUCCGCCUUCCCUCCCUCGCGGACCUCGUCCGCGCCGCCUGCACCUGCCUGCCCUGGCGCAACCUGGUGACCAACUUUCCCCCCUUCCGCCGUCAAUUCAUCGACCUCCACCCGGCGCCCCUCCUCGGCCUCUUCUUCGACACGCCGUUUCAGGCUGUCCCCGGCAUCCCCGCCUUCGCCCCCGCCCACCGGAAUGAUCCGGAGCUCGUGGCCGCCAUCUUGAACGGUGACUUUUUCCUCACCACCCUCCAGGCGCGCGACGGCCCGGAAGCUAACUGGAGCUUCCUCGACGCCUGUGGCGGCUACCUUCUCCUCAUCAAAGAGGAUGAGGUAUUGCUCCUGCUGCUAAACCCCUUGGCACGGUGGUGCGAGCGGUUCUUUGAUCUGAGUGACUCCCGCAUCUUCGACGACGACGACGACGACCGCGAAGGCGAUCCUCAACUCCUUUACGCCGGCCUGAUCUGCGAUGACGAAAGCCCCGCGAGCUUUGGCAUCUUCUGUCUUGCUGCACAUGGAGGGUUCAGGUUGCGGGCUACGGUCUUCUUCUCAUUCUUGGGAAUGGGCGGCGAUUGGUUCCUCUCCCCAUGGUUGGAUGUCCCGCACCAUCCCAACCCCCACCCGGAAGGUGACGAAGAUGACGAAGGUGAUCUUGUGCUUGAGAGCGGCAUGCGAGUGGGUUUUUGCAGCUCGAUCCUUGGCCAAAUUAACGGCGAUAACAUGUGCAUUGCUUAUUCAAAUGGAUUCAACAUCGGUUUCAUGCUGCGUCAAGAAGAUGGCCUUGAUGCUGGGGCAUGGGCUAACAGCAGGGUAUUCAACCUGACUGAUCAAGUUCGACGGAAGCUUGGGUACUUACCCCAGAAUGGGCUGAAAAUUGCGGCAAUGCGGGGUAGCAUAGUGUACUUCACAACAUCACAGAUGUUCCAUCCGCUCGAGGCCACUUGUUGGUUCGCUUGUCUGUGCUUGGAAAGUCGCAGGCUGGAGUGGUUGUUUCCGAUGACGUAUAAUGGUCUCUUCCAACCAUACCACCAUUCAUCGUGGAGUACUUUUCUGUUACCAGAGAAUGAAAGAUUUUAUCCCUUCAUAUGA